rnacentral:rRNA from 1 species
GAUAAACGCUAGCGGCAGGCUUAACACAUGCAAGUCGAGGGGCAGCAUAGAUUGUAGCAAUACAAUUGGUGGCGACCGGCGCACGGGUGCGUAACGCGUAUGCAACCUACCCGUCACAGGGGGAUAAUCCGGAGAAAUCUGGUCUAAUACCCCAUAACAUAUGGAUCGGCAUCGGUUCAUGUUGAAAUUUUCGGAGGUGACGGAUGGGCAUGCGUAGCAUUAGCUUGUCGGUGAGGUAACGGCUCACCAAGGCGACGAUGCUUAGGGGGACUGAGGGGUUGUCCCGCCAACAUGGGACUGACACACGGACCGGACGCAUACGGGAGGCAGCAGUGAGGAAUAUUGGUCAAUGGGGGCAAGCCUGAUCCAGCCAUGCCGCGUGCAGGAUGACGGCUCUAGGAGUUGUAAACUGCUUUUGUACGAGGGUAAAGUGGGUUACGUGUAACCUUUUGAAAGUAUCGUAGGAAUAAGGAUCGGCUAACUCCGUGCCAGCCGCCGCCGUAA